UACGUAGGUGGCAAGCGUUGUCCGGAAUUAUUGGGCGUAAAGCGCGCGCAGGCGGUCCUUUAAGUCUGAUGUGAAAGCCCACGGCUCAACCGUGGAGGGUCAUUGGAAACUGGGGGACUUGAGUACAGAAGAGGAAAGCGGAAUUCCACGUGUAGCGGUGAAAUGCGUAGAGAUGUGGAGGAACACCAGUGGCGAAGGCGGCUUUCUGGUCUGUAACUGACGCUGAGGUGCGAAAGCGUGGGGAGCAAACAGG
rnacentral:rRNA from 1 species